CAUAUACUUAUCACUGAUAACAGUAAUCUUUUUCUACAGGUUAGUGGCCAGAGAGCUUCCAGGAAAAGGGUUUAAACAUAUCCUUCUAGAACCAAAACUUCCCUUGUCCACAGCAAAUGCCAUAAGCAGUAGGUGAUUUUGCAGGCAUAUGAGGGGGCAGCAACACUGUACUGUCAAGUGAAAGGUACUGUAUUACGGUAGUUGGACUCGAUCUUAAUGGUCUUUUUCAACCUAAAUAAUUCUGUGAUUCCAUCUGAUUUUAAGUGCAGUAUUAAGUGCAGAAGAUGGAGUUUCUAAGUUCCUAUUUCACAGAAAUUUAGUCUUUAAGUUACAUACUUUAGUCAGAGGUAUAUGGGAGAAGGGGAAAAGAGGCAAAUGCUAGUCUUGGAUACACAUUUCACGUUUUAGGGACAGUUUCACACAGUCACCACAUGACAAUUGUGAAUCCCAUUCUCCUGCAUCUAAUCUUCUCUCUUCUAGAUAGAGGUAAUUCUGUCUAAAUCCUAUGCUGAACUUUAGUUCCCUUGGUAAAUGCCUAACUUGAAUAUCUGAGCAUGUUGGUACCUUGAGCCCUUUUAAAUUGUGUUCCUUCAUGAAUACAGCUCCUAGAAAACAUCUGAGUUUUGUACUCUGAAAAAAAAAACAAAAACAAAACAAAACAAAACAAAAAACCCAAACACAUUUCAAUGUUCUAAAAGCAGCAACAACUUGAUAAGGCUACUUUCAGUACAUUCUUUGAGGUCCUGUAAAAAUGAAGUUGAGUUAAAUGCAGCUUUAAAAUAUUGUCUAUUUAAAACCUCUUAAUAUUUAAUUAAUGUAACAGUAUCUAUGAGUGUGCUUAUUAGGUCUUUUUAUAUGUUGCUAUAUAUAGGGAGAAGGUAUAAUUAUAGUACUAAGUGUAUUAAAACCAUAGUAUAUCAAAGUAAAUAUCUAAUUAAACUCUGGAGAUACUUCCCUUAAAUAGUCAUAAGGAAAAAUAUUGGGGUCAUGAGUGGAUUGAGAGCAGCCCUGCAGAGAAUGACUUGGGGAUGCUGGUGGAUAUAAAGCUGGACGUGAACCAACAAUGUGCGCUCACAGCCCAGAAGGCCAACCGUAUCCAGACCUGCAUCAAAAGCAGCGUGGCCAGCAGGUCGAGGGAGGUGGUUCUGCCCCUCUACUCCACUCUGGUGAGACCCCACCUGCAGUGCUGCGUCCAUCUCUGGAGUCCCCAGCACAGGAAAGACAUGGACCUGUUGGAGCGGGUCCAGAGGAGGCCACAAAAAUGAUCCAAGGGCUGGAGCCCCUCUCCUGUGAGGACAGGCUGAGAGAGUUGGGGUUGUUCAGCCUGGAGAAGAGAAGGCUGUGGGGAGACCUUCUUGCAGCCUUCUCGUACUUAAAGGGGGCUUAUAAGAAAGAUGGGGAUGGACUCUUUAGCAGGGCCUGUAGCGAUAGGACAAACAGUAGUGGUUUUAAACUGAAAGAAGAUAGAUUCAGACUAGAUAUAGAGAAGAAGUUUUUUAGGAUGAUGACAGUGGUGAAACACUGGCACAGGUCUCCUAGAGAGGUGGUGGAUGCCCCAUCCCUGGAAACAUUCAAUGUCAGGCUGGAUGGGGCUCUGAGCAACCUGAUCUAGUUGAAGAUGUCCCUGCUCACUGCAGGGGGUUGGACUAGAUGACCUUUAAAGGUCCCGUCCAACCUAAACCAUUUUAUGACCUAUUGGAAUGUUUUCCCUUUCUAUGUCAAUGUAUACCAGUUGUCUAAGUAUCCUUCUGCAAUCAUUACUGUAACCUAAAAAAGCAUUAUUAUGAUUGUACUAGUUAUUUUUAUAUUGGAAACCAGCAGAUUUCUCAUUUAUUUUUAGAUUCGUAAAUAUAUUUCUAAUUUCAUAUUAUAAACAAAUUUAUACAUUCUAUCACUUUCUAGUAGUGGACUUAUUGAUAUUUUCUUCAAUAACAUUUAAGCAAGAAUAGAAAAAAAUGGUUUAGUAAAGCCACCAGCAGAAGCCAGUUACUAAAUAUCUGAACAUUUGUUUCUCAAGUGUUGAAAAACCUUUUCAAAAAACAAGAAAAUAUGUUUAUCUUGCCAGAUAAUGCACGAGUGUAAAAAGUGUUCAGUAUUUAUUUCAAAUAAAUGAUUAUAACAAUUAAACUUUUCAACUUUAAUGGAAAGAAAAAAGCAAAACAAUGUAAUUAUGUUGAGCAUUCAUUAAGAAAUUUGUGUUUGCCAUUACCAGUUUAUAGGAGAUGCAGUUUUUAUGUACUGUAUUAGCCUUGAUUCUGUUCAUCACAUUCAUUCAGAGUUGCUGCAGUCCUUACUGAGAGCCACAGGGAACAUGUGCAUAACCUCCUGUCUUGCCAUUCCGAGUUGUCAUGAGUGUUCAUUUUCUGGAAAACGUGUCAAAUCCUUCCUUCUAUAGCAGGCACUGCAUUUAUUGAUUUUUUUUUUUUUAACUGCGCUUUCUUCAGAGGCUUGUAGCAAAUUAAAAAAAAAUUAUAAUAAAGUAAUACAUAUAAAAUUAAAAAUAGAAUAAUAAUUAUAUUAACUACUGAUGCCUUAAAUAUUAAUCUGAUUGUAUGGUAACUCUGGUAUAUUUAAUAAACACUUUAAACCCCAGUGUUUUAUUAUAACCUAUAAUUUUCAUCAAUAAUCCAAACUUCAUUAUGACAAAGACCCAUGGAAUUACUAGUCGUGCAAGUUUUUGUAGGAUGAACUAUUCAUUACUAGAUCUAUACUUUUAAUCUCAUGCAGAUGAGUUGAAGCUAAAAGUUAAGUUUCAACUUAACUAUUGCUGCUUUUUGCUAGAGAUUUCUUACAUGCCAGUUACACACAGUGCUGUUUUAAGACUUUGGCCCUCAAAUCCACAGUUUAAAAGAUCUUAACAGUAGUCCUACAUCUCCUGUCUCUUCCUUCAGAAAUACCAUUAACACACCAUGCAGUGAGUGCACUAGGGAGCUACAUAUGUGCCCAGUGUAAUGCACAAGGUAUAUGCAAGCAUGCAGUGCAUCAAAGAAUAAAAACUUCUCCUGAUCCACAGACAGAAGAAUAGCACACAUAUUGUGCAAAGUGAAUAUAAUGAUCAAUUAUUAUAACAGAAGAAAGUCCUUAGUGAGUUGGAAUAGUAUGACAAUGAGAGGAGAGAGGGAGAAUCUUGAAAAAGAGUAAUUUAUUUUUAGUUUUCUUUCUGAGGAAACAGAGUUUAAAUCUGAAGUGGUGAUAAGGAGGGAGCCAGUAUGGGAUUCAAAGAGGGAGAAUAACCUGGCUUGACCUGUAUGCACGUAUUAGGGAGCCCAUGAGAGAGCCCCAGCGCCCUGUUCUCAUGAGCCAUUUAAAGUAAUGUGGGAGCUGUAGUAACUGUGGACAGGCUGCCUCUUUCCUGUACCCAACAUCUCUGCUGCAGCAGAAUCAAUAAGGAGCGGUCCACUUAGUCCACUUUUAUUAUCAAUCAAAAUGUGCUUGUGCUAGGCGUAGCUCCAACAGAAAAAAGGUUAUAUUUUUUCAUUGUCUUUUCAAAGAGAGAAAAAAAUUAAGAGUAAAGCAAUUCACACAGCUGUACAGAGGUAAAGAGGCACAGCCGGUGAACUUGAGGGAGGAUAGUGAAAGAAAAGAUUUAGGACAAAAAUGAGGAACUUCUGUUUCUCACUGAACUUUGAGACAUCUACUUUCAUCAGAAAUUAGAUCAUCAUUGCAUUAUCUCAAGCACACCACUGUGAAAUGCUAAUGGUGUUUCUAGGUUUUGUUCCGUGGCUUUGGCCUGAUUUCCUUCAUCCUUUCUCAAAACAAAGCCAUCUAUUCCCAAUAGAAUUUUUGAAACCUUUAUAGUCAUGGGGUUAUAAAUAACUUUAGCAAAAUUACAAACUGAAGGUCUUAGCUAAUGUGAAUGCUUUGAGACAGACUUUUUUGUGCUUUGCAGUAUCAUUCAUAGGAGCAUAGGAGCCCUUGGUCUAGCUUAUGUAAUUUAGAUCUAUGAAAAUGGUUUCAACUACUUUCACUUUUCACACCAUUCUUAGGAUCAAAAGUGUGUUUGUAACAGUUGCUUACUCCAGAAUGUCAGGUAGACUUCCCAUUAAAACAUAUUUGGUAUUGCACCUAGUACUCAGUGACUUCUCUGUCCCUUAGUGUUUUAAAAACCUGAUAUGAAGCAAUAAAUAUUCUAAAUGAGAGACAUCAUUGCAAGUUUGCAAGGUGACACUUAUGAUACAAAUAAAAUACUGCAUUUUCUUCAUAGUCUUAUGGGUGUAGGAAAAAUUGAACAAGAUGCAAGAUUGAACUGUUCAUUUAAAUGCAAAAAUGUCGAUGACAAAGAAUAGUUCCUGACUUCUUGAGUGUUUUGUGUGUCUUUGACUAAAGGAGAACUGCUUUGUGGACUGUUGAAAGGAUUUUACUCAUUGUCCUAAUCUGCCUGUAAGUAAAUUUCAUUUUUUAGGUUUUUCUUCUGCAUUUUGAACUUGGGACAGGGGCAUACUUUAUUGAUAUGCAAAUAAGAAGAAUGUAUUUCAGCCUGUAAGGUUUAUGAAUAGAUGGCAAAAGUCUCUUUCAGAGAAGACCUUUAAGUUAGUAUUGCUCUCAUCUAAAGGAUUCCUUAGAUCAGCAUCCGUCCCUUCUGGUAAGUAAACAGUGCUCUGAAAGAAACAGCUUUAUUCAGGCAUCACUGAGAAGAACAUAGAAAACCCCGGAAGGUGUUCAUGGCUGUAAAGAAUAAAAUCUUAGGUGGGAUUUUUCAGACCUGCCCAAGUAAAUCAGGAGUUAAAAUCCACAUAUCCUGCUUUAAUGUCAGGUAUAUCAAAGCUGAAGGGGGUCCUCCAAUAACAAUAUGGUCUUAGCGGCUUUUAAAGCAUUCUUUUUGGUAUUGAGGUUAUUGUAAACUCAUUCCAACUCCUGUAACCAUGGAAAACCCCGUACAACAAAACUUCUGCCACUGGUGCCUGGAGGAGAUCUAGCAACAAUAUCUUUGCUGUCUCCAGAUGUUUAUGGAUGUUUAUGAGAUGUUUAAGAGAGGCUACGAAAGAAGAGGAGAUCGAUGGUGACAGCACCAGGAUGUAUCAGUAGACCUACGCCCUGCAAAAAUAAUUUUGUCACAUACUUUUUGUGAGGGUAAAGAGGGGACUUUAUCAGAAAGGCUUUUGUCCCUCGAAAGCCUUAUGUGCUAAAUCCAAAGCCUCUGUAUGUUAAAUCCACUUCCCUACAAGGGGACUAGAAUUUCAAAACAAGGUUUGACCUCCUUAAGAAUCUUUUCUACCUCUUCCAUUUUCAUGUCCUUUCAGAAACCCAUCUCUACAUGCCUGCAGGAGUGAUUGCCCCAAAAGGAUCCACUGUGAAUAAUCUGUGAAGCAGCUUGUAUCUGAGGAAGUAUCGCCAUAUUCAUGAAGUACCAGCUCUGUGGACUUACAGGGUUGAGUACUUGGAAACUGUCACAGAUCUUUCCUGCCUUUUCUCAUCUGCAUUCUGAUAACAAUAGUGGACAGCAGAAGUGAUCAAGACCUCCUGUAAGAUGAUAAACCUGAGACAUUCCCACAAGAAUUAUACUACCCAUCGUUGUCCUUGGGAGGAAAGCUUGACUGGACUGCAAGAGAUGACUCUGCAGGUGACUGAAUUAGGGGAGUUUGUUCUCAUGCAGGGUAUCAUUUCUCAGAUGCAAAGGAUAUCUGGGAUUUUAUUUGUGAGAUUUGAAAAGUCAAAAUUACCCUUUUUUGUUUCAUGUUGCCUUUGCAAAGGGGAAGGUAAAAGGAUUCAAAUGAUUGUACUAAAUCCUAUAAGAAGACUAAGAAGAAUUUAUCCAGAAUUUGAGAAUACAUGAUAACAGCUGAGAACUGUGUACAUCAAAUUAACAGGCUGUAGCUUGUUACUUAAAUCCAUUGUUGGAACCAUCGUCACCCACGUGCAUUUCCCAAGCAAUUUUCUUAACUAUUCUCCCAGUGAAAUGUUCAAAACAAAUUCACCUCUGUCAGCAACAGAAAUGUUUCUGCAGUUUAAAGACAGUUAAGAUCAGGGAUUGCAGUCAACUUCACAGUCAACCUAACUUUAACAGCCUCAAGGUUGUACUGUAAUGUGUGCUAGUUUUUAGCACCUCUUGUGAAUACCAACAAUCUAAUUAAAGAUGUCUCAUGAUCUCCAGAGUCCCCUCAGGAGCAGAAGAAAUAGCAGAUGCCAUGCUAAUACUUUAUAGGAAUGUAGCUGUGGUUGACAGUAAAUGGUAUCAGUGCUGCAUAUGAGAGAAAAUAGUUUAUUUAAAUUUAGUAUUUUGUCAGAAAUGUUUUAUUCACAGUAGGAAGGCACUAUGCAGCUCAACAGCAAUAACCACAUAAGGGACUUAAGUAUGAAAGUCUAGGAAUUGGGGUGCUAUAGUAGUAUUACUAAUAAAUAUCUAUAAUAAAGGAAGUUCUUAUGGAAGCUGAUCUUUCAAUAAAUUAGACAUUCCCAGCAUCAGUAAAACAGAAUGUUAUUGAACGCUGCAGUCUUUCACUCUGCUAUUGCUUCUAACUGUUGAAUGAGUAGCUAUGUCAAGGACAAAUUAUUAAAUGGUAAAAUAUACCGUUAAAAAGUGCUACAUUAAUCCAUAUACCAUUCAUAUAAUUCAUAUGCCACAUAAUUCAUAUACUGUUACCAACUAAUUCUCUCAAGAAUUCAGGAAGUAACACACAGAGGGAUGUCAGGGGUAGUGCUUUUUACUAUGAGCUUUCCUAUAUUCUGCAGAUACAUUAAUAUUUUAGGAUCCAACUGGAUAAGUGACAAGAUUUCUAAAUGCCAUUUUCAAAAGUGAGCUUAAAACUAAAUUUGAUAAAGUGAUGUCUUUUAAUAGUAAUCAACUCAUGGAUGCACUAGAGUAGUCCUCCAUUAAAAAUUAAACUGAAACGAUUAAAAAAAUAGGCCACAUUCCUCUGUGGUCUAAGUUUACUGAAGUCAGUUGAGUUGUAUCAGGAGGAAACAUGGAUCUCAUUUCAAGAUGUAAGGGCAAACUAAUUCACAAAUUCCUGUUAAAAAUAAAUCUAAUCUGUAUUUAUAAAAGCAGGAAAAUCCUAUGGUGGCAAUAAAAUCACAGUAUAGUUAAUUGCUUCUAGAAUUAUACAGAAUAUAGGACACAGAGCACUUACAGCUUCCAACCCUCUAAAUUCACACUCAGAUACUACAGCCAUGGUAAAGCUUUACAUCAAGGAAUAUGGGGAUGCUUCCUGGCCCAUUGAAAGCAGUUGCUGUUUUUCAGUAAAUUUGAAUAGCUAAUUCUUAUUAGCUAUUUAUUUUUUAAAUUAAUCAUUAAGAAAAUCACACCCACCUAAAGGUUCUGACUGUACUCACUGAUCACUCAAUUUAUACAUAAAUAUUGUUCUGCAUUUCCCAGGUCAGCACUUUGAAAAUCAUACUGAAAGAAUAAACCAAAGCUUUUUUUUUUCUUGAGAAACUUCUAAAAUCAGACUUUUUCCAUAAUGCAGGUUCCAUUAAUCUUUUUUAUUUUAUAAUCAUUGUCAUGGCCAACUAGUAUCAGAUCUACUUCAUGGAUAUUCUGUGCAAGUCUGACACUUCAUUUGUAUCGUAAACUGAUAAGCUCUGCUCCUUCUGCUUUACGUUUUGCAGAUAUGUCGUUGGCUGCUUUGAUAUAACCUGUGUAGUUUAGGUUAAUUUGUUUAUAGUAGCAAAGGUAUCCAGCCUGUUAACUCAAUUUUUAUACUGUUCUAUUCAAAUAUAUUUUUUGACUGUGCUGUGACAUAAUGGUUCCAAAGUAAAUCUGUUGUAUGCAUUGCAGAGGAAACCUGGGAAACUGCAUUUGUUGUACAUAUUCUUCCAGAAUAUCCAACGCCAAAAUCAAAUUAAUAGUUUCCUAAACACAAGUUCAGAAUGUAAUUUUUUAAAGUUAACAUAAAUAACUGUAAAUUUUAGACAAGUGCCACUUUUAUGUAUCAUUUACCAUGAACUAGAGAUUGAGGAAGAUACAAUUCACCUUGUCCUUAAAAUAAACCCAACAGGGGGACUUAGUCCAUCUGUCCUUUAUCGCAAAAAAGCUGGAUCAAUUUAAUUUAUUUUUGCAGCUAUUCUAGAUACACACAAUUGUAAAGGACACUUUUGUGCAUCUAUUAUUUUCAAUUCACAAGCUAUCUAAGUUAAAACAAUCAUAAAUCAUCCUUAUGGGAGCAUUUUUUACAAAGGCUCAAGAAAAAAAAGUUGGCAUUUAAUGCCCAGCCAGAUAGUUGAGGUAAAAAUCUCUCUCAGCUUAGUAUGGUAUUAUUUUCUGUAUUGAACAUUAAAUGAUGUUCAAUGAUUGAUGAAAGAAAAAAUCGCUCUCAGUAGCCUGCAAAAAACAUUAAAAAGUACAACAGCAGGCAUAAGAAAUACUGGCCACAGUAUUCUCAAAUCUCUGUAUGUUACAGAAUCCUUUUUGUAAAAGGCAGCACUAAGUGGGCUUUCACUUCAAAUCCUGGACCUACUACUGGUGUAGUCCCUGAGAAGGUUCCUCUUCGAUUAAUUACCCUAGAGGGUUCAGGAUGCUAAGCUGCUUCUGCAGAGGACUUAAUUGCUAAAGGCAAAAUCCCACACGCUUAUUAAACUCAAAAUAAUACUAGCAUGAGCAGGACCUUAAUAUGAAAGUGACUGUUACCAUGUACGCAGGCAGAUUUUUAUGGAUACAACCGCUUAUGGUACUUUUCUUUGAAAAAUAUUAUAUUUUAAUGUUUCAUGCUGUAUACAUUCUUGUUUUGGAGUAUAUGUAAAACAAAAGCAGAAACACAAAUUUGAUUCUAAGAAAUUAAAUUACUUUCCUCAAAAUUAACUAGCCUCUGAGCUUUGCAGAAGAGUAACCAAAAAACAGUAAGGACUGAAAAAAGAGUAGCUGACCUCCUCCUUCCACCCAACUAAAUCCGUGGCUGAAAGGACAGCUGUGUUUGGAAACACAAAGCAAAACAAAUGAACAAAAAAAAAAAUCCAUAAAGAGAAAGAAUCAUCUACCUGAUAUAUUUUUGCUUUCCCUUUAUGACACAUAAGAAGCCUUGUGCCGGCUUAGGAACCCUGAAGGACUUUUGCCUUACUUGUAUGGGUAGCUGCCAAACAAACUAGUUUAUGUUUCAUAAUUUCCUGGGUAAUCCACGCUGCUGUUUUCAGUAGUCAGUUUUGUUGUCUACUAGUUCUGGAACUAUUUGUCACAAUGUCAUUUGGGAGGCUGAACACUUGCUGGCCACAUCAAAAGCAAAGUCUGUUUCAACUAAGAGACAAUUACUUUGUUUAUUAAACAGUAUUUCUUUACAAAAGCACA